UGGAAAAAAAUUAAAAUUUUUUGAAAAUGCCGAGGUUGGAAAAUAAAUGAAAAUAUUUUGAAAAUUCCGAGGUUGGAAAAAAAAUGAAAAUUUUUUUGAAAAUUCCGAGAUUGGAAAAAAAAUGAGAUAAACUUAUCGUCGUGCUGGGGAUAGAUCAUUGUAAUUCUGGAUCUUGAACGAGGAAUUUCUAGUAAGCGCGAGUCAUCAGCUCGCGAUAAUUACGUCUCUGCCCUUUGUACUCACCGCCCAUCGCUACUACCGAUUGAAUAGUUUAGUGAGGUUUCCAGAUUGGCACUGUCAGAUGGGCUUCGUAUCAUCCGACGGACGUCAAAAAGUUGGUCAAACUUGAUCUUUUAGAGGAAGUAAAAGUCGGAACAAAGUUUCCGUAGGUGAACCUGCGAAAG
rnacentral:rRNA from 1 species